rnacentral:rRNA from 1 species
UACGUAGGGGGCGAGCGUUGUCCGGAUUUAUUGGGCGUAAAGAGCUCGUAGGCGGUUUGGUAAGUCGGGUGUGAAAUCUCCACGCUCAACGUGGAGGGGCCACUCGAUACUGCCAUGACUCGAGUCCGGUAGAGGAGUGUGGAAUUCCCGGUGUAGCGGUGAAAUGCGCAGAUAUCGGGAGGAACACCCGUAGCGAAGGCGGCACUCUGGGCCGGAACUGACGCUGAAGAGCGAAAGCGUGGGGAGCAAACAGG